rnacentral:rRNA from 1 species
AGUGAACGCUGGCGGUAGGCCUAACACAUGCAAGUCGAACGGCAGCACAGUAAGAGCUUGCUCUUACGGGUGGCGAGUGGCGGACGGGUGGGGAAUACAUCGGAAUCUACUUUUUCGUGGGGGAUAACGUAGGGAAACUUACGCUAAUACCGCAUACGACCUACGGGUGGAAGCAGGGGAUCUUCGGACCUUGCGCGAUUGAAUGAGCCGAUGUCGGAUUAGCUAGUUGGCGGGGUAAAGGCCCACCAAGGCGACGAUCCGUAGCUGGUCUGAGAGGAUGAUCAGCCACACUGGAACUGAGACACGGUCCAGACUCCUACGGGAGGCAGCAGUGGGGAAUAUUGGACAAUGGGCGCAAGCCUGAUCCAGCCAUACCGCGUGGGUGAAGAAGGCCUUCGGGUUGUAAAGCCCUUUUGUUGGGAAAGAAAAGCAGCAGGUUAAUACCCCGCUGUUCUGACGGUACCCAAAGAAUAAGCACCGGCUAACUUCGUG